rnacentral:lncRNA from 1 species
UGUCCAGCAGUAUCAAAUAUUCAGCCAAGAUUUAAUUCUUUAUGUUAAAAUAAACAAGCACAUCAAUCUCAUUAGUAUGAAAAAUUGUGUUUAUUGUUAAUAAAUGGUGCAAUUAUCUGUAUACUGAAUAAUUGUUUUGGAGAGAAUGGAAAUUUACUGAGAAAGGCAGUGAAACAUUAAAGCUGAGAGGAGGAGGUGCUGGAGGGACUUGAAAUAAGAAUGAAAUUCUUUGCUAGUCAAAACAGCAGGAGAACAGGAGUUUUUGAUAGGAAAUUGGGAAUAUUGAAGUGGGAGAAGGUUCGAGGGAUGGGACUUUAUGACCUAAAGAAUAGGAAGGGGGAGUGCAGGAAGGAGGAAAGAAAUGGGGAAAUUGCUGGAAUGAAGAUAGAUAAGAGGCACCAAGAGGACUCCCAACAUGCAGGUGGCUACAUAAUUGGCUAGGUAGAUUGAGAGAGGGAGGGAGGGAUACUUGUGUAAGUAGGUAGGUAGAGAGAUUUCUAAUAGUUUUUAUUUCCUACGGGAGCAACUCUUCUGUAAAACUCAUUAUAUAUUUUCCUCUCAAAAGUAAGCGACUCAAAAGCUAUUUGGAUUACAAGGCAAUGGUACAUGAUAAUAAACUGUUCCUGGGAAAACAAAUUUCCCCUCCAGCUGCUGUGGGGAGUGCAGCUAAAUAAUAAGAGAGUCCAGUGUGGAUAGAAGAUGAGUCCUGCCUAAUCAAAACAUCAUGGGGCUUCAAACCUGUAAGUUCUGGGUACACUACACCACUGUUUAAAAUGCUCAAACAUCCUUUCAAUGUCUCUGUUCGCAUGCAGCGUUGUGCCAGCCAAACAGUCAUUUGAAAGCUGCCCGUCUGUUAUCACCUUCUGUCUUUCUGAGGAGCCAAUAAUGAUCCUGAAAGUAGUCCAUUUGACAAUAUUGGAAUGGAGGGAGGAAUGAAAAAGGCUCUCCCUAUGAGGGACCGCAAGGGGGAAAUGCCUUGGAAGGAGCUGCUUUUAGAGAUAGGAACAGAAUCUCUUGUGAAGGAAGACAGAAGGAAUGGAAGUUAGAACCAAGUCUAUCUCAGGCCUCG